UACGUAGGGUGCAAGCGUUGUCCGGAAUUAUUGGGCGUAAAGGGCUCGUAGGCGGUCCAUCGCGUCGGGAGUGAAAAGCUGGGGCUUAACCCCAGUCCUGCUUUCGAUACGGGUGGACUAGAGGUAGGCAGGGGAGAACGGAAUUCCUGGUGUAGCGGUGAAAUGCGCAGAUAUCAGGAGGAACACCGGUGGCGAAGGCGGGUCUCUGGGCCGAUAUUGACGCUGAGGAGCGAAAGCGUGGGGAGCGAACAGG
rnacentral:rRNA from 1 species